GACGAACGCUGGCGGCGUGCUUAACACAUGCAAGUCGAACGGAAAGGCCCUGCUUGCAGGGUGCUCGAGUGGCGAACGGGUGAGUAACACGUGGGUGAUCUGCCCCUUACUUUGGGAUAAGCCUGGGAAACUGGGUCUAAUACUGGAUAGGACCAUGCUGUAGGUGGUGUGGUGGAAAGAUUAGUUUCGGUAAGGGAUGAGCUCGCGGCCUAUCAGCUUGUUGGUGGGGUAAUGGCCUACCAAGGCGUCGACGGGUAGCCGGCCUGAGAGGGUGGACGGCCACAUUGGGACUGCGAUACGGCCCAGACGCCUACGGGAGGCAGCAGUGGGGAAUAUUGCACAAUGGGCGCAAGCAUGAUGCAGCGACGCCGCGUGGGGGAUGACGGCCUUCGGGUUGUAAACUCCUUUCAGCCAUGACGAAGCCCUUGUGGUGACGGUAGUGGUAGAAGAAGCACCGGCUAACUACGUG
rnacentral:rRNA from 1 species